UCCAUGACAGAAAUACUAAAGUAGCAUGUCAAUCAAUAACCGAGGUACCGAUCCCACUGUCAGGCGUCAAGCGAUCUGGUAUUUUUAAGGUUUUUUUUAUAUGUAGGCUAUAUGGCCAUCAAGGCACAGUCACUCGACUUAUAAUAGAGUAGAGCUCAUAUUGGCGUAUAAUAAGCCUGCGGUCCUCUAUGUCACCUCAAGACAAGCCUGGAGGAGCAAAUCAGAGGGGAAUUACUAAUCUCACAACAGGAUAUAAUGUGCAGAAUCAAGCACCGGCCUUCAGAUGAAAAGGAACAUGUUCGUCACUGUCCCCAGCAGAACAGAAACAGAGUGAGCAGCUUGUUAGCAAUGUCAAACGAAGGAAGUUGUUUCCGCAUGACUCCUCACACCACUUCUCAGAACCUCUCUGUCUCUGUCAUCCAGCACAACAUAAAUCAGCAUUUAGGGCACGAGUGCGUCUCGGAGCCGGAGUGGCCCUAGGCGAUCUUGCUGGAACAAUGCUGAGAUCAAAGCACUGAGCUCUGACAGCCAAUGAAUGGCUUCCCAUGGCCGAAGCAGCAGAGUGAAGCUCACACCUGUACCAGGUGAUUACAGGUAGAUCAGCCUGUCUCUAAUUGGACAAUAAAUGCAGCUCUCAAGCUCACUAAUGGAGGCAGUCUGCCUCACAGACGCCAUGCUGCCAUUUGGCCGUCGCCAGCACUGCCUGAGCCUCUCUCUUUCUCUCUCACAAUAGACAUGAUGACAUAACGAAAGAGCAUGCAGAGCAAACAACAAGAUAAAUUACAAUUCAAGGCUUUAAUGUGAACAGGACUGACAGUGACACAGCGUCAUAAGCUGUGGAUUCAGAAUUUACCUGAAACAUUUUUGUCCAUGAAUCUCAGUUGAAUGGAACUGAAUCUGAAGAAACCUUUUUGUAAAAAAAUAAUUAAUUUUAUCUAUAUAUAUAUUUGUUUCUCUCAAUUUUAACACUUUAAUCAUUUUUAUAAUUGAGUUGUGAAUAAUUGUUAUUGGAAAAUGUAAAAUAAAUCUGGUAAAAACAGUUUAAAUAAAAUGAUUUACAACAGG